rfam:TPA: Bos taurus chromosome 6, whole genome shotgun sequence.
UCCCUUGUGGCUCAGACUGUAAAGCAUCCACCUACAAUGUGGCAGACCCAGGUUCGAUCCCUGGACCGGGAA